GAUGAACGCUGACAGAAUGCUUAACACAUGCAAGUCUACUUGAUUCUACUUCGGUAGUUGAUGGUGGCGGACGGGUGAGUAACGCGUAAAGAAUCUGCCCUUUAGUUUGGGAUAACCUUUGGAAACGAAGGCUAAUACCGGAUAUUAUGGAGACGUCGCAUGACGACUCCAUGAAAGCUAUAUGCGCUAGAGGAGGACUUUGCGUCCCAUUAGUUAGUUGGUGAGGUAAUGGCUCACCAAGACCGCGAUGGGUAGCCGGCCUGAGAGGGUGAUCGGCCACAAGGGAACUGAGACACGGUCCUUACUCCUACGGGAGGCAGCAGUGGGGAAUAUUGGACAAUGGGCCACAAGCCUGAUCCAGCAAUUCUGUGCGCGCGAUGAAGGUCUUCGGAUUGUAAAGUGCUUUCAGUAGGGAAGAAAAAAAUGACGGUACCUACAGAAGAAGCGACGGCUAAAUAUGUGCCAGCAGCCGCGGUAA
rnacentral:rRNA from 1 species